GUGCCAGCCGCCGCGGUAAUACAGAGGGUGCGAGCGUUAAUCGGAAUUACUGGGCGUAAAGCGUGCGUAGACGGUUAUUUAAGUCAGAUGUGAAAGCCCCGGGCUCAACCUGGGAAUUGCAUUUGAGACUGAAUAGCUAGGGUACGGUAGAGGGAAGUGGAAUUUCCGGUGUAGCGGUGAAAUGCGUAGAUAUCGGAAGGAACAUCAGUGGCGAAAGCGACUUCCUGGACCAGUACCGACGUUCAGGCACGAAAGCGUGGGGAGCAAACAGGAUUAGAAACCCCUGUAGUCC
rnacentral:rRNA from 1 species